rnacentral:rRNA from 1 species
GACGAACGCUGGCGGCGUGCUUAACACAUGCAAGUCGAGCGGUAAGGCCCUUUCGGGGGUACACGAGCGGCGAACGGGUGAGUAACACGUGGGUGACCUGCCUUUAGCUCUGGGAUAAGCCUGGGAAACCGGGUCUAAUACCGGAUAUGACUCCGCGGCGCAUGUUGUGGGGUGGAAAGCCUUGUGCGGCUGGAGAUGGGCCCGCGGCCUAUCAGCUUGUUGGUGGGGUGAUGGCCUACCAAGGCGACGACGGGUAGCCGGCCUGAGAGGGCGACCGGCCACACUGGGACUGAGACACGGCCCAGACUCCUACGGGAGGCAGCAGUGGGGAAUCUUGCGCAAUGGGCGAAAGCCUGACGCAGCGACGCCGCGUGAGGGAUGACGGCCUGGU